CGGCGGACGGGUGGGUAACGCGUGGGUAACCUGCCUCAUACAGGGGGAUAACAGUUGGAAACGGCUGCUAAUACCGCAUAAGCGCACAGUACCGCAUGGUACCGUGUGAAAAACUCCGGUGGUAUGAGAUGGGCCCGCGUCUGAUUAGCUAGUUGGUGGGGUAACGGCCUACCAAGGCGACGAUCAGUAGCCGACCUGAGAGGGUGACCGGCCACAUUGGGACUGAGACACGGCCCAA
rnacentral:rRNA from 1 species